CUACGGAGGGUCCAAGCGUUAUCCGGAAUCAUUGGGUUUAAAGGGUCCGCAGGCGGUCAAUUAAGUCAGAGGUGAAAUCCCACAGCUCAACUGUGGAACUGCCUUUGAUACUGGUAGUCUUGAGUUAUAUGGAAGUAGAUAGAAUGUGUAGUGUAGCGGUGAAAUGCAUAGAGAUUACACAGAAUACCGAUUGCGAAGGCAGUCUACUACAUAUAUACUGACGCUGAUGGACGAAAGCGUGGGGAGCGAACAGGAUUAGAAACCCUAGUAGUCC
rnacentral:rRNA from 1 species